rnacentral:rRNA from 1 species
UACGAAGGGGGCUAGCGUUGCUCGGAAUCACUGGGCGUAAAGCGCACGUAGGCGGAUUAUUAAGUCGGAGGUGAAAGCCUGGGGCUCAACCCCAGAAUUGCCUUCGAUACUGAUAGUCUCGAGUUCGGAAGAGGUUGGUGGAACUGCGAGUGUAGAGGUGAAAUUCGUAGAUAUUCGCAAGAACACCAGUGGCGAAGGCGGCCAACUGGUCCGAUACUGACGCUGAAGUGCGAAAGCGUGGGGAGCAAACAGG